GACGUAGGGUGCGAGCGUUGUCCGGAAUUAUUGGGCGUAAAGAGCUCGUAGGCGGCUUGUUGCGUUGUCCGUGAAAACUCACAACUCAAUUGUGGGCGUGCGGGCGAUACGGGCAGACUGGAGUACUGCAGGGGGAGACUGGAAUUCCUGGUGUAGCGGUGGAAUGCGCAGAUAUCAGGAGGAACACCGGUGGCGAAGGCGGGUCUCUGGGCAGUAACUGACGCUGAGGCGCGAAGGCCAGGGGGAGCAAACGGG
rnacentral:rRNA from 1 species